AAAUAUGUUUUUUUCAAAUAUUCAAUGCUUUAAUCCUAAUCCAGGAUUAGGGAAAAUUGACCAUUUGGGAUAUAAGGGUAGAAUUUGAGUAGCUGAAUUUAUAGGGGCCAAAUUUGAUGCCGUUGGUUCUCCAGGGUUAAAUAUGAGCACAUGCACGGGCAUGCUUUGUGCAGUAGAUAUGCUGAAUAAUCAAUGUGCUCCAUUCUAUCCUUGCAGAUUUGCACAACAGAGGGUAUUAGGGGCGCCCUGGAAAAAGACCAUCACCCAAUGUAAGGACUAUGCCACAGCUGUCCAAAAUGAACCACGGUGUUCCUGGAGCUGUAGGAGGAAGGAGACCACUCAGAGAGUUAUAGCGGGAAAGAGGCUUAAGUGGUUGUCUAAACAGUGUCGCCGACUUUCCCAGACCUAGGACAAAUAUCGACCCCUCUUGCUAUGUAUUCUGUCUGGGGUGACACACCGGAGGCUGUGCUUCCUGUUCUGGAUCAACACUCUUCCAUCCUGGUGUCCCACAGAGUUGUCCUUCAAGGAUGCCUCACCAGCAACUCUCUUCCAUUCUAUCCAGACACAAGAUUCUCAUUUUGUCAGUUACACUCGGUGCAACAGCUGAAAAGUAACCAGUCCAGAAAGAUGCAAUGUAAG